CAAGGACAUGGCCAGGAGCGCGGGGCAGGAGAGACAUCUCGCUGACCGUGCUGGCGGGACAAAGAGGUCACCCCUUAAGUCUCGUCUCCUGGGGACUAAUAUUCUAAGUCUCAGAAGAGAGAGGCUCCGGGCAGAGAAGAAAGAUGAGUGACCUCUCCAAAUGAUGGACCUCAGUCUCCCCAUCUGUGCAACAAGGACCUUCAGUUGGAUGACGUCCCAGGUUAAAGAGGAAAGGGUGGGGCUCCCACAAGCCGGCUCCUCGCGUCUGUGAUGAGAGAUCCCGCUUCCACCUUUAUCUGCAGCCGGUCGAGCCGCCGAGGCCAGCGGCAAGCCUGUAGUAGGACUUAAAAUGGCUUGGCAGCAAAUGUCAGAGCUGUUUGAUCUGCUUUUAGAAAAUCACCUUUCGAGGCCCUCGAAGAUACUUGACACUUUGCAAAGAGAUUAAAAACUUUUCAGCUGACUU